rnacentral:tRNA from 1 species
GAGAAAAUAGCUUAAUAUUAAAGUUUCAGAUUCUUACUCUGGAGAUGUUGUUGAUAACUUUUCUUA